UCAUAGUGCUUCUUUUU
rnacentral:miRNA from 1 species